UAUUUUUCAUUUUAUUUUAUUUUGUUUUUCCGGGAUUUGGGGGUCUUAUACUUGAGAGUGAGUGUUAAAAGAUUCUUAGAUUUUCAUUCAUAGACAGAUAUGAGAUACCACCCAGCAAACCAGCUUUGCUGGAGCGCGUGACUACACGCUCCUCUACCAUUAUAUUUAACCAAACUUUUUGUAUCAGACGUGAUUAUGAAUUAAUAAGAGUAUUGUUGAUUUAAACUAU
rnacentral:lncRNA from 1 species